rnacentral:tRNA from 1 species
GAAGAUAUAGCUCAGGGUAGAGUGCAUGCCUAGCAUGCACAAGGUCCUGGGUACAAUCCCCAGUAUCGCCA